rnacentral:rRNA from 1 species
GACGAAGGUGGCGAGCGUUGUUCGGAAUCAUUGGGCUUAAAGGGCGCGUAGGCGGCUCUUCAAGUGUCUUGUGAAAUCCCUCGGCUCAACCGAGGAAUGGCUGGGCAUACUGACGAGCUUGAGGCAGGUAGGGGCGAGUGGAACUCUUGGUGGAGCGGUGGAAUGCGUAGAUAUCAAGAGGAACGCCGGUGGUGAAGACGACUCGCUGGGCCUGUCCUGACGCUGAGGCGCGAAAGCCAGGGGAGCAAACGGG